UACGUAGGGUGCAAGCGUUGUCCGGAAUUAUUGGGCGUAAAGAGCUCGUAGGCGGUUCGUCGCGUCGGCUGUGAAACCCUGAGGCUCAACCUCAGGCCUGCAGUCGAUACGGGCGGACUGGAGUUCGGCAGGGGAGACUGGAAUUCCUGGUGUAGCGGUGAAAUGCGCAGAUAUCAGGAGGAACACCGGUGGCGAAGGCGGGUCUCUGGGCCGAUACUGACGCUGAGGAGCGAAAGCGUGGGGAGCGAACAGG
rnacentral:rRNA from 1 species